rnacentral:rRNA from 1 species
CAGAGGUCCCAAGCGUUGUUCGGAUUCACUGGGCGUAAAGGGUGGCGUAGGUGGUGAGGUAAGUCGGAUGUGAAAUCUCCGAGCUCAACUCGGAAAUGGCAUUGGAAACUACCUUGCUCGAGGGUUGGAGGGGGGACUGGAAUGCUUGGUGUAGCAGUGAAAUGCGUAGAUAUCAAGCGGAACACCAGUGGCGAAGGCGAGUCCCUGGACAACUCCUGACACUGAGGCACGAAAGCUAGGGGAGCAAACAGGAUUAGAUACCCUGGUAGUCCUAGCCGUAAACGGUGCAUGUUUGCUGUAAAAGGAAUCGACCCCUUUUGCGGCGUAGCCAACGCGUUAAACAUGCCGCCUGGGAAGUACGGUCGCAAGAUUA